rnacentral:rRNA from 1 species
CUGACACAGGGAGGUAGUGACAAGAAAUAACAAUACAGGGCUACUUCUAGUCUUGUAAUUGGAAUGAGUACAACUUACAUCUCUUCACGAGGAUCAACUGGAGGGCAAGUCUGGUGCCAGCAGCCGCGGUAAUUCCAGCUCCAGAAGCGUAUAUUAAAGUUGUUGCAGUUAAAACGCUCGUAGUCGGGUUUCGGGUCGGGCCGAGCGGUCUGCCGAUGGGUAUGCACUGUUUGGCGCGGCCUUCUUUCCGGAGACCGCGGCUACUCUUAACUGAGCGGGCGUGGGAGACGGAUCGUUUACUUUGAAAAAUCAGAGUGUUUCAAGCAGGCAGCUCGCUCUUGCAUGGUACAGCAUGGGAUGAUUGAAUAGGACUCCGGUGCUAUUUUGUGGUUUCGAACACCAGGAGUAAUGAUUAACAGGGACAGUCAGGGGCACUCGUAUUCCGUCGAGAGAGGUGAAAUUCUCAGACCAAUGGAAGACGAACCACUGCG